rnacentral:lncRNA from 1 species
UUUUGAUUUCAUAAUUAGAUAGCUUGAAGGUAAUUAAAUGAUGAAAAAAUUAUCAGUAUAGAUUUAAUUUAAUAAUUAUAGGUCCUCCUACUAUCUCAAAGUCCAAUAAUAAAAAUAAUAUUUAUGGUAUCGAUAUAUUUUUUUAUUAGAAAAAAAGUGAGUUAUAGCUUUCUAUUUUUUGAAGAUGAUUUUGUAGUUUUGGAUCCAUAUAUUAAGUAAAU